AGUACUCACAACCCCACUUCCAUUAUCGAGUAAUAUAUUGGUGUUCUACUGUACAAACAGAUUCAAUUUUCCGGAAGACAAGUCAAAUAAUAAAAUAAAAACCAGCCAUUAGAUGAAUCGCUUCUGAUAGUUUCUUUAACAUACAAUAAGAAAAGAUUUAUUCUAUGCCAAGCUUAAUAUAAGCUACAAAAACAAUAUUGUGUGGACGAUUCACAUAUCUCCAUAUGACAAGUAUUUAAGGUGGAAACACAUCUCAUAAGUUCAAUCUUGACAAUAGUUACCAUGUAAUCGAAGUGGACAGCAACAACCCAGAAAUCGAAGAUGUUUAUCACUCAAUACAAAAUAUCUGGCGCAAUGCCCUGCAAGAAGCCAAAAAUACUCAUCAAACAACAACAAAAAUCCCAGAACACACAAAAUUACAAGGGAUGUUUUUCUGACAUUUCACAAAUUGGUAAUGUCCUUAAACUUGUGCACUAAGAUACGAUUUUAGGUACAUUCACCUGCAGUUACUAUACUGAUCAAUACAUGAAAAAAUCCAUUUAUUUAAUCUACUUUGUCAGACAUUAGAGUAAAAGAAUUGCUCAUUAGAACCUUCUGACCCUAACAAAGCUGUCAUUGAAGCAAAGAGAAAAUAUAUUAUCCAAAAUGUACCUUCAUUUUUCCAAAACCAUUCACCAAAAAGUUGAAUGGCAGAAUAACAUCGAGGACUUAUUCCAGUUCAUUAUCCUCUUCUUCUGAUUCAAUAUUUACUUUGUUUGACAAUGCCAUAAACUGCCUUGGUAGCUAUCAGUCUACCUGUCUCCAAUUGCUUGUUUAUCUUUCUAUUGGCCUUUUUCGCAAAAAAUGGUAAGCUUUUAUUUAGCUGAUGCCAUUGCCUCUCGAACCUGCAUAAAAUAAACGUAACAAACCUAAGUAUAGUUGCAUAUCUAUGGUAUAGCUGUCAUUGUGAACUGGAUGAUAGAAACUGCAUACUCCCUUACUAACCUUUGGAAAAAACAUCAACAAGGAUAACUGGCGUGGCUCAAAAUGCACAAGACCUCAACC
rnacentral:lncRNA from 1 species